rnacentral:rRNA from 1 species
CGAUAUCGACGUAGUUUGAUCAGUGCUCAGAUCACGCUGGCGGCGUGCCUCAGACAUGCAAGUCGAACGAUUAAAGCUCUCUUCGGAGAGUGUAUAGAGUGGCGCACGGGUGAGUAACACGUAAGUAAUCUACCCUCGAGUGGGGAAUAACAACCGGAAACGGUUGCUAAUACCGCAUAAUGCAGCGGCACCGCAAGGUGACAGUUGUUAAAGAUUUAUCGCUUGAGGAGGAGCUUGCGGCAGAUUAGCUAGUUGGUAGGGUAACGGCUUACCAAGGCUACGAUCUGUAACCGGUCUAAGAGGACGGUCGGUCACACUGACACUGAAUAACGGGUCAGACUCCUACGGGAGGCAGCAGUCGGGAAUUUGGGCAAUGGGCGAAAGCCUGACCCAGCAACGCCGCGUGAAGGAUGAAGUAUUUCGGUAUGUAAACUUCGAAAGAAUAGGAAGAAUUAAUGACGGUACUAUUUAUAAGGUCCGGCUAACUACGUG